CCUACGGGUGGCAGCAGUGAGGAAUAUUGGUCAAUGGGCGAGAGCCUGAACCAGCCAAGUCGCGUGAGGGAGUACUGCCCUAUGGGUUGUAAACCUCUUUUGUCGGGGAGCAAAAGCCGGACGUGUCCGGCUGUGAGAGUACCCGAAGAAAAAGCAUCGGCUAACUCCGGGCCAGCAGCCGCGGUAAUACGGGGGAUGCGAGCGUUAUCCGGAUUUAUUGGGUUUAAAGGGUGCGCAGGCGGAGUUUUAAGUCAGCGGUAAAAUCGUGGGGCUCAACCCCAUCCAGCCGUUGAAACUGGGGAUCUAGAGUGUGCGAGAGGUAUGCGGAAUGCGUGGUGUAGCGGUGAAAUGCAUAGAUAUCACGCGGAACCCCGAUUGCGAAGGCAGCAUACCGGUGCACAACUGACGCUCAGGCACGAAAGCGUGGGUAUCGAACAGGAUUAGAUACCCGGGUAGUC
rnacentral:rRNA from 1 species